UGUGAGACUCACCAGGGAGAGUGGCUGGAGGGGACCUGCGUCCCUUCAGACACCUGUGUGGCUGUGAGGUGCAGAUGUACCUGUUGCUGGGCUGCCUGCACCCUGGGGGCUCUGCUAAUGGAAUCAGAGCAGGGAGGGCUUCCAGGCCUGCUCCACACCUUGACACCUCCUCUUACCUCUCCUUCAGGAGGAGCAGGGAGUGAGCCUCAAGACCUGCACCACACACUGCUUCACCCAGUGUUUCCUGGAUGCUGUGCCAUUCCAUCUGGCUGUGAGGAUUUGGGACCUUUUUAUAUUAGAAGGGGCACAUGUCCUCACCACCAUGGCCUAUGUCACCCUAAAAUUGAACAAAAAACGCCUACUGAAGAUGCCCCAGGACCACAUCCAGGAGUUCCUGCAGGUGACUCUCAAGCAAGCCUGGGACCAGGAUGACAACAUCGUUGUCAAGCACCUUCAAGCUUCCAAGAGGGAUCUGGCCAAGCGACAAUGCCUCCUG